rnacentral:rRNA from 1 species
AACGAACGCUGGCGGCAUGCCUAACACAUGCAAGUCGAACGAGACCUUCGGGUCUAGUGGCGCACGGGUGCGUAACGCGUGGGAACCUGCCCUUAGGUUCGGAAUAACUCCCCGAAAGGGGUGCUAAUACCGGAUAAUGUCUUCGGACCAAAGAUUUAUCGCCUUUGGAUGGGCCCGCGUUGGAUUAGCUAGUUGGUAGGGUAAAAGCCUACCAAGGCGACGAUCCAUGGCUGGUCUGAGAGGAUGAUCAGCCACACUGGGACUGAGACACGGCCCAGACUCCUACGGGAGGCAGCAGUGGGGAAUAUUGGACAAUGGGCGAAAGCCUGAUCCAGCCAUGCCGCGUGAGUGAUGAAGGCCUUAGGGUUGUAAAGCUCUUUUACCCGGGAUGAUAAUGACAGUACCGGGAGAAUAAGCGCCGGCUAACUCCGUG